UAGGGAAUCUUCGGCAAUGGACGAAAGUCUGACCGAGCAACGCCGCGUGAGUGAAGAAGGUUUUCGGAUCGUAAACUCUGUUGGUAGAGAAGAACGUUGGUGAGAGUGGAAAGCUCAUCAAGUGACGGUAACUACCCAGAAAGGGACGGCUAACUACAUGCCAG
rnacentral:rRNA from 1 species